AACGAACGCUGGCGGCAGGCUUAACACAUGCAAGUCGAACGCAUCCUUCGGGGUGAGUGGCAGACGGGUGAGUAACGCGUGGGAACGUGCCCUUCAGUUCGGGAUAACCCAGGGAAACUUGGGCUAAUACCGGAUACGUGCGAGAGCAGAAAGAUUUAUCGCUGAAGGAUCGGCCCGCGUCUGAUUAGCUAGUUGGUGGGGUAAUGGCCCACCAAGGCGACGAUCAGUAGCUGGUCUGAGAGGAUGAUCAGCCACAUUGGGACUGAGACACGGCCCAAACUCCCAGGGGGGGCAGCGGGGGGGAAUAUGGGACAAGGGGGGCAAGCCUGACCCAGCCAGGCGGCGGGGGGGAUGAAGGCCUUAGGGUUGUAAAGCUCUUUCGUCCGGGAGGAUAAUGACGGUACCGGAAGAAGAAGCCCCGGCUAACUUCGUGCCAGCCGCCGCCGUAA
rnacentral:rRNA from 1 species